rnacentral:rRNA from 1 species
AUUGAACGCUGGCGGCAUGCUUUACACAUGCAAGUCGAACGGUAACAGGCCGCAAGGUGCUGACGAGUGGCGAACGGGUGAGUAAUGCAUCGGAACGUGCCCAGUCGUGGGGGAUAACGCAGCGAAAGCUGCGCUAAUACCGCAUACGAUCUAUGGAUGAAAGCGGGGGACCGUAAGGCCUCGCGCGAUUGGAGCGGCCGAUGUCAGAUUAGGUAGUUGGUGGGGUAAAGGCUCACCAAGCCAACGAUCUGUAGCUGGUCUGAGAGGACGACCAGCAAUAAUGGGACUGAGACACGGACCAGACUCCUACGGGAGGCAGCAGUGGGGAAUUUUGGACAAUGGGCGCAAGCCUGAUCCAGCAAUGCCGCGUGCAGGAAGAAGGCUUUCGGGUUGUAAACUGCUUUUGUACGGAACGAAACGGUCCUGGUUAAUACCUGGGGCUAAUGACGGUACCGUAAGAAUAAGCACCGGCUAACUACGUGCCAGCCGCCGCCGCGGUAA